rnacentral:rRNA from 1 species
AGCUCCAAUAGCGUAUAUUAAAGUUGUUGCGGUUAAAAAGCUCGUAGUUGGAUCUCGGCAGGCAGGGGGCGGUUCGCUCCUUAGCGCUACUGCCCCAUUUGCCUGUGUGAUUGGCGGAGGUUUCGGGGUGCCCUUCAUUGAGUGACCCGGGGCGCCGUCAGGUUUACUUUGAAAAAAUUAGAGUGCUCAAAGCAGGCUUUUCACGCUUGAAUAUUCGUGCAUGGAAUAAUGGAAUAGGAACUCGUUCCUAUUUUGUUGGUUUUCGGGAAUCGAGUUAAUGAUUAAUAGGGACAAUUGGGGGCAUUAGUAUUCAAACGACAGAGGUGAAAUUCUUGGACCGUUUGAAGACUAACUACUGCGAAAGCAUUUGCCAAGAGUGUUUUCA